rnacentral:rRNA from 1 species
CCUACGGGAGGCUGCAGUGGGGAAUAUUGGGCAAUGGGCGCAAGCCUGACCCAGCAACGCCGCGUGAAGGAAGAAGGCUUUCGGGUUGUAAACCUCUUUUGUCAGGGACGAAGCAAGUGCCGGUACCUGACGAAUAAGCCCCGGCUAACUACGUGCCAGCGGCGGCGGUAAUACGAAGGUGGCAAGCGUUAUCCGGAUUUAUUGGGUGUAAAGGGCGUGUAGGCGGGAAGGCAAGUCAGAUGUGAAAACUAUGGGCUCAACCCAUAGCCUGCAUUUGAAACUGUAUUUCUUGAGUGCUGGAGAGGCAAUCGGAAUUCCGUGUGUAGCGGUGAAAUGCGUAGAUAUACGGAGGAACACCAGUGGCGAAGGCGGAUUGCUGGACGGUAACUGACGCUGAGGCGCGAAAGCGUGGGGAGCAAACAGGAUUAGAUACCCGGGUAGUC